AAAAAAGUUAAUCAAACCUUUUUCCCAUACAAAAAUAAUUAUCUAAUCAGGACCAAAACCUAUUUAAUUAUAGCCUUAGCUUGAUUACAACUCCAUCAGGUUACUAAACCGGGUCAACCCAAUCCCCUGUUUUCAUGAAAGAUCGCAACCAGGAGAGAGACGAGUUCAGAAUCUAUUUUAAGAAAAGAAUUAUUUACUUAUUAC
rnacentral:lncRNA from 1 species